rnacentral:ncRNA from 2 species
GUACUGAAAUGCAUGGUGGGAAAUCAAUGUGUAAUUCAUUGGCUGUACCUGCAACCGUAAAGUCGGAGCGCCACCCAGUAU